UACGAGGGGGGCUAGCGUUGUUCGGAAUUACUGGGCGUAAAGCGCGCGCAGGCGGUCUUCCAAGUCAGUGGUGAAAGCCCGGAGCUCAACUCCGGAACUGCCAUUGAAACUGUUAGACUUGAGGAUGAGAGAGGUGAGUGGAAUUCCCAGUGUAGAGGUGAAAUUCGUAGAUAUUGGGAAGAACACCGGUGGCGAAGGCGGCUCACUGGACCACAACUGACG
rnacentral:rRNA from 1 species